rnacentral:rRNA from 1 species
UUNNGUUUUNNNNCUGCUCAGGAUGAACUCGGGCGGGNNUCNUAAUACAUGCAAGUCGAACGCUUUGUGGUUCAACUGAUUUGAAGAGCUUGCUCAGAUAUGACGAUGGACAUUGCAAAGAGUGGCGAACGGGUGAGUAACACGUGGGAAACCUACCUCUUAGCAGGGGAUAACAUUUGGAAACAGAUGCUAAUACCGUAUAACAAUAGCAACCGCAUGGUUGCUACUUAAAAGAUGGUUCUGCUAUCACUAAGAGAUGGUCCCGCGGUGCAUUAGUUAGUUGGUGAGGUAAUGGCUCACCAAGACGAUGAUGCAUAGCCGAGUUGAGAGACUGAUCGGCCACAAUGGGACUGAGACACGGCCCAUACUCCUACGGGAGGCAGCAGUAGGGAAUCUUCCACAAUGGGCGAAAGCCUGAUGGAGCAACGCCGCGUGUGUGAUGAAGGGUUUCGGCUCGUAAAACACUGUUGUAAGAGAAGAAUGACAUUGAGAGUAACUGUUCAAUGUGUGACGGUAUCUUACCAGAAAGGAACGGCUAAAUACGUGCCAGCAGCCGCGGUAAUACGUAUGUUCCAAGCGUUAUCCGGAUUUAUUGGGCGUAAAGCGAGCGCAGACGGUUAUUUAAGUCUGAAGUGAAAGCCCUCAGCUCAACUGAGGAAUUGCUUUGGAAACUGGAUGACUUGAGUGCAGUAGAGGAAAGUGGAACUCCAUGUGUAGCGGUGAAAUGCGUAGAUAUAUGGAAGAACACCAGUGGCGAAGGCGGCUUUCUGGACUGUAACUGACGUGAGCUCG